rnacentral:lncRNA from 1 species
UCCAUUGGUGAAAUGGUUGGGAACCAAGGCCUCCUGUUCUAUAUAUGUGUUUGAACUGAUACCCUCUCCCUCCUCCCCAGUCAAACCUCAGUCUGUCUCUAACCUUCCAAAUCCUAGAAAUCUGCCGCCCCAAAAUUCCCGUCAUCUCCUACCGGCGGUUCAACCGUAAUUAACCCCAAACUUACACCCUAUAACCGCCAAGCCUCCCCAAACUCGAAUCCCUUGGAGUUUUUCCCAAAUAAAUUUUGAAUUCAUCAAAUAUAAAUCCAAAUUUACCCUAAUUUCGGAGUUUAAGGUCUCUUGAAGCUUCUGCUUGUCUUGGCUCGAAGCUGGCUAUAGUAGACCAUUCUUGACUAGAGUGGUCAUUAAGGUCUCUUCAAGCUUCGUCGAAGUGUCCCAUGUUUGUUCAUCUAUGCUAAUACUCUCCAUUUUUUGGUGAGUCAUUCAUCUCUUUUUCUUUAUUUUUAUUUUUCUAUUUUUGUCUCCUCGGAUUCUUUCCUUUUUAUUUAUUUCUUUUUUGUUCAGUUAUUUUUUUCUUAAAUGUUACAUUAGAGUAUUUGAAUGGGAUUUUGAUUUUAUUUUCGUUCAAAUUAGUUAAUUGAUAAAACAACCUAGCACAUUCUAGUUCAGGGUAGUUACAAUUUGCUUUGAUUAGUUCAAUUCCGUUUGUUUAUUGAAAUCAGUUAGCCCUAAGGUUUACUAUUUAGAUAUUGAUGCCUAGUUCUUCUCUUUUGGGUUGUUGGUUCACCCCUGUUUGGGUUGGACGAGCCCAUGGAUUUUGGUUUAGGUCUUCGCCAAUUUGACCCUGGAAUGAUUCACUCUAGGUGAAAAUUCAAGGUUGUCAAAGGGUGUUUGGGGUUAUUUGAAGCUUAGGGAAUAUUAUUCUAUCAUGGGAAGCUUAUAGAGAUAAAUCUAGGGUGGUUUGUUAGGAGAUAGUAUUCAGAUAUUUUGAAGGGGUUAAGGGGUAAAAUAACUAAGAAAAUAAGGGAUAGAAGAGGAAUUAUCUAACUAGGCUAGGGUUGCCUUAAGAGUGUCUAUAUAAAGAGCAUAUUCCUCCAUUUUUAGUAGCCAUUCAUAAUUCUAAAAAGACAUACAAAAGGUUUCUGCAUUACACUGAAAUUGGGUUGAACAUUUCUCUAAUUUUUUUCAUUGGCCAAAAAUCAUAGAAAUUUUCAUGGGAAUUCUUGGUUUACUAAGCUGAACUUGGUUGGGUUGAACCUGUAGUUUUGAUUGUUGCUGCUGCUCUUUGCUCUUAGUUUUGUUGUUUCGUUUGUUCAUAUUGGCUGAAGUUCAUGACUUUUCUCUUCUUUGUUGUUGUAACCAGGCACCCUCGCAUGCCUUGAAAAAUGCAAAAAUGAAGAAUAAAUUGCUUGACUUGAAGUUGAAAUAACAGGAUUUAUUUAGUUUGAUGCAUGAUUGCUUUCUUUCUUCAAUUUGUUGUUCUUUUGCUAUUUGUUAAGUUUGUUUAACAAUGACGUUUGGUGCCUAGUUCAUUCACACUGUUAGGGAACUGUUUGAUUUCUUUACAUGGAUUUGAGCACGUUUUACCAUAUUCAGGGAUUGUAAUAUCUGUCUAUGGCCAUCUGGUUUUGCUCUGUUGUGGGCUCGAUUUGAGCCCAAUAGCCUUCAACAUUUUCUAGUUUCUUAUGUGUAGAUUUAUUCAAUAAGAAAACGAUUUCGAUAAAGAAUUUGAUUCAAAGUUCAAUUAAAUUUCUUAUUUCGAUAAGCAUGCAAUUAAUUUGCUUAAAUUGGAGUUUGAUUGUUGGGAUAUUUUUAGAUUUUGGGCUCAAUGAUGGCCUAGUGGAAAUGGCUAAGUCGAUUGGGCUGUUUCCUUUCAUCUGCCUGUUCCCUUGGAUUAAAUUCCAUCCCAGCCCUUUCUUAUAACAAAAUAUGUUCUCGAACGUAAUUAGAGUCAUCUUCCUUGAUUCGGAAUUUUGAACCGGUGACUUGGGACACCAUAAACUAUCCCAUGUGGUGACUCUAGUUUUUAAUAAAUAACCCUAUUUUGAUUGUCACUUAAAUUGGAAAAAUAUCCUUAUACUCUUGCGGAGUAGGAAAAAAGGAGGUGUGACAAUUAGUAGGAUGGUUGGAGAUUCUAGAUCCCUUUCUAAAACACUCCUCUCUCAAAAUAGUUUCUGAAACUAGAAAAAACAACCCUAAAGUCAUUUAAUAAACAUGGUUGUGGAUGAAAUUUUCCAAAACUUAAUCUUAAAAGCCAGGUCUAUGUCGUAGACCAAACAGCAUAACGGGUAGGCUGUCCGUAAAGGGGAUCGUAGGAAUGGUCCCGAAAACUAAGCAGGCUUGGAUAGGUCUGCGAUGCAUAAUGGACCAUAGAAUCUCCUUCCAGGUUUUAUCCAGCUGGUUCUGCGAUGGAUGUGCGACCCGUUAGACAAUUAUGCGAACACAUAGUAUACCACGAAACAAUCUCCUAAAGUGACCCAUUUUCUUGCUUCACUGCACGGUGGACCUGCAAUCUGUGAAAACUUUCUGUGGUCGCAUGAUGGAUCACAAAAUGCCAUGUUCUGCAACAAGUUUUCUUCAACUCCCCAAUGCACAGUUCAACCCAAAAAUACGUACCGCAGUGAGCAAGCCUUGCCGUGAAGAUUUUCUACAACCCUCAAAUACAUUAGCCUACCUCAGCACCAUGAAUCCUCGAGUAAUAGGUAAUGUUUAAUGGGGCCUUACACUUAUCUAGAGGUUAUAAGUCUAAGAAACUUUAUAUUCUUUCUUUCUUUGUCGUGCAUCUUCAUUCUAUCAUAUGUUUGAAUAUUUCUUCUCUUAUUCUAUCAUGGUAAGGACACAUGCAUCCUGAAGAUGAUCAAACGCCAGCCAAUUUUUAGCCAUUACCAGGAGUAGAGGUAGGGGCCAACGGAAAGGUAGAGCUUAGCCUACAGCACGCGUAGCAACACCUACAAUAGAGCCUCAAAUAGAGCAGGAUGAUAAGAUCUCAGUUCAAACCAAGCCAUUAGGACCAGCUAAGGUCCCGGAGGGGUUCAUUGCUACCCUAGUGCUUUAGGACAGCUUAGUCCGCAAGGUUGGCCUCAUGUAGAGUAUUGCAUAAGCAAGUAUUUUUUAUGUGGCACCAGUUGUUUCUUAGGCCAAAGAAGGAAUUCAGACUCCCGCUGCUCAUACCCCUAAGUUGAUAAACCAUGGUUAUCAGACCCUAACAGUUCGACCAGUUAGGAUGGCUCGACCUAUUUUCUCUAGAUAGCUUGUGGAUAGGCUCGCAAUUUUAGCUAAUGAUCUAAAGAGGUUGGACAAGUUAACCAAGUUGUGUCCCCCUCACUUUAGUGCUACACCUUCCGAGGACCCCCCCUCCCCCCNNNNNNNNNNNNNNNNNNNNNNNNNNNNNNNNNNNNNNNNNNNNNNNNNNNNNNNNNNNNNNNNNNNNNNNNNNNNNNNNNNNNNNNNNNNNNNNNNNNNNNNNNNNNNNNNNNNNNNNNNNNNNNNNNNNNNNNNNNNNNNNNNNNNNNNNNNNNNNNNNNNNNNNNNNNNNNNNNNNNNNNNNNNNNNNNNNNNNNNNNNNNNNNNNNNNNNNNNNNNNNNNNNNNNNNNNNNNNNNNNNNNNNNNNNNNNNNNNNNNNNNNNNNNNNNNNNNNNNNNNNNNNNNNNNNNNNNNNNNNNNNNNNNNNNNNNNNNNNNNNNNNNNNNNNNNNNNNNNNNNNCCACAAGACGUCUUGGACCAUUGUUAUAUGAAUUAUGCAAUUUGACACUAGAGGAGUCCAACAGAGUUGAUUUCACAAUCUUUCAUAUGCAUGGUUCCGCUAAUAGAUGGAGGUAGAUUUCUGAGAUAGGUAGGAAAACCAGAUCACCUCCUCUUAUAUGGGCUCGGUCUUGCAGUUGUUCUUGGAGAAGUUUAUUGCCUUCACUUAAUUCAACCACCUUUAAUAAGGUGGCAUGACCAUUAUUCAAUGUGAGACUAGAUUUGUUUCUUUUUCUCGCCAUCCAGCUAUCAUUAUCCCUAUUGAGAGGGAGAAGGUGUGGAAGUUCUCCCUGAAAUCACAAUACCAGAAUGUAUGCCCCUAGAUAGUGGACAAAAUUAGAAGUUGGACAUCCAAACUCAUAUCUUAUGCUGGAAGAAUCCAACUUAUCAAAAGUGUCCUGUUUGAAAUGCAAACUUAUUGGGCCCAGAUAUUCCUCAUUCCAAAAAAAUUUAUAAAACUCGUAAAUAGAAUUUGCAGGAAUUACCUGUGGACUGGUAGUCAUGAAACUAGUCAUAGGAAUCCAAUCGCCUGGGAAACACUGUGUAAACCAGUGGCAGCAGGAGGUUUGAACAUUAUCUCCUAUGAAAGAUGGAAUAAAGGUGCACUAUCAAAACUUCUCUGGGCCUUAAUGUCUAAGAAAGACAAACUCUGGAUCAAAUGGAUCCAUUGUCACUAUAUAAAGAAAAAAGACAUUAAUACUAUGAAAAUUCCUAAACAAACUAGAUGGCUCGUUAGGAAAUUGUUUGGCGCAAGAGAAUGGUGGGCAGCUGAUGGAAUAGGAAUGCAAACAUGUACAAAAAAUGGGCAAUUUAGCAUCAGGAAGGCAUACAUUCAGACCACUCCACAAUAUCCCAAGGUUCGAUGGAAAAAAUUAUUGAUGGUGACUGGCAUGCUCCCGAUACAGAAAUACAUCUUAUGGAUGGCGCUGCAUAGACACUUGGCAACAGCUGACAGAUUAGCUAAAUGAGGAAUUCACAUUAAUCAAUCCUGCGUUUUAUGUGGAAGAGACACUGAAGAAACACACGACCAUUUAUACUUUGACUGCUUAUACUACCAAACACUGUGGCAAAGUAUGUUACAAUGGUUGAAGUAUCAAAGAACGACAUCUGCUCCCAAAAUAGAAAUACAUCUUAUGGAUGGCGAUGCAUAGACGCUUGGCAACAGUUGACAGAUUAGCUAAAUGGGGAAUUCACAUUAAUCAAUCCUGCAAUUUAGAUGGAAGAUACACUAAAGAAACACACGAACAUUUAUACUUUGACUGCUUAUACUCCAAAACAUUGUGGAAAGGUAUGUUACAAUGGUUGAAGUAUCAAAGAACGACAGGUACGUGGGAAACAGAAGUUCAAUGGUUAACUGCUAAUGUUAAUAGCAGAAACCUCAGAAAAACCAACCUAGGUGUGGUGUUUGCACAGUAGUUUACAACAUCUGGAUGGAAAGGAACAACAGAAGGUUUCAACAAUCAAGCAGAGACGCCAAAAAUUGAGCAAAGGAGAUUACACUUCAAGUGCACUUUACUGGCAUAAAGCUAUCUAAGUGGUCACCCAUUCUACAGAACAUUAACAGCUAUCAUUCAUGCGAGUAUCCACAAUUGUAGCAAUUUUCUCUCUGUGAUAGGAUAUUAGCUUAACAACAACAGUUAUAGAGUUUCAAAUUGAUUGUGCUGUUGAGAUCUGUUCUAGAGUCCAAAAGAAUAGAUGAUGUAUAUUUGCCAAAUAGUUUAAAUAAAACAAAAACUUUCUUCUAAAACAAAAGAAGGUGUGGAGGUUCAAAUAGGGUAUUAUAUAUGGCAUCAGACUUCAAGUGGAUAAAGAGACCAAGACUAAGAUUUCUUUUACUCAAUUAGUGGAGAUUUGUAAGUCUCUGUUAAAACUUCCUAAUGAUUUAAGAUUUUAAAAUGCGCUAGCUGUGUUUGGGAAUAACAUAUUUGAGUAUUAAAUGAUACCUAUGGGAUAGAGCCACAUCAUUUAGAUAAGAAAAUGUAUUUUUAAGGUAUGUUGGAAUGUACUAAGAAGUUUUGUGAAUGGCAAGAAUUUGUGUGAAACAAGUUGUAUAUAUUAAGUGGAAAAGGAUGUCUCAAUUAGAAUCAGAUCCAAAUUUAAAAAAAUUCCACUCCAAAAAUAUAAAGACAUAGGUGGUGAUAGGCCUAUCAGAUUAAAUCCCUUUGAGUCUAGUUUCUAAUUCAUCAAAUCAUUUGUCAUUUGGAUAUGCAUAAAGAAAGUUAUGGCCAUUUAACCAGACCGAUGCCAUAUGCGCAGCCGCACAUAUAAGGGGGUUUCUGCCUCGUGUGUGCGGUCACUAACCCAAGUGCAUGAUCGCGCAUGUAGGAGCCCUAUAUAACCCCAAGGCCGGGUAGAGAGAUGGACUAAGUCAUUUCUUUGAGCAACGACUUGCAUAUCAAGGGAAAUCCAUCCAACACUUACCUCACAUGAACAAAGGUAAUGUUUUUGCAGUAAUUUUGAGUUGAUUAUACUCCAAUACACUUCUAUUAACUAGGACUAAUCUUGACAAUCCAUAAAUUUCCAUUCAAAUUCCCAAAUUGACCAAGAACAAUACAAGUUGGGAUUUUCAAGACUCUCACUACUAGAGGUAUAUCUAACAUCUCUAACUAAUUCAUGGUGAUUAUUUGUUUAUGAAAUAUGUGUUAAGACUUAUGGGAUGGUGAAUGAAAAUCACAAGUACAUAACAUGGGUUGUGUUGGUGUGGUAGAUAUUGUAAAAAUUAUUUAAAUGAUGAGACUGAUGGUUUGGGAGUGAAUUAAUGGGCAUGCAUGUGCUAAUGGAAGUUGUAGAUUGCCUAGGGGCGACUGUGAUGUGAAUCAUUGGUGUGGAAGGUGGUUGUUAGGUGAAUAAAUUCCAUUUGAAGGUGGUUCUAGGAAUAUAUGCACAUUAGAUGUUUGAUAUAAAGUAUAAAUGACUUAAAGUUUAGAAAUCUUGCUUAUAUUGGUGCAAUUGUGUUGCAUUGUUGUAGAUCGAAGUUGUUCAAUAUGGCAGAACGCCAUACUACUAUUAAAGGGAGAAUUUCAGGUAUGUUAGCUAAAAUACUCACAUAGAAUUUAAUUUCAUUAUGUUCCCACAAGUUUCAAGUAUGGUUGGAUCAAGUUCCUAAUUCCCAUAUUCUGAGUGGUUCCUAAUAAAUUCGACUAUUUCGAAUGAACCUUUUGUGUGUGUGUGUGUGUGUGUAUAUAUAUAUAUAUAUGUUCAUAAUGUGUUUUGGAUGCUCUUAUCAUAUUAUGUUACCCUCUAGGAAUGUGUUCAAAGUAUGAUAUGUGUAUUAAAAUGUUAUGACUUUGAGUCAUUUUUCAAAUGAAAAUCCAUUAUGCUUUACUUGGAAACAAUACUCCAUGCGUCUAAUACUCAUAUUACUCAUAUAUAUAAUUAAGACCUUGAUUUUGAAUACUCAUAUUGUUGAUAAUCUAUAUAUAUAUGCUUGAAAGUGAAAUAAGUGAGUUGGAGAUAUAAGGUGUAGUCAUCAUGCCAAGAAUGAAGGUUAUACUUGUCACUAGUAGUUCCCGUGAAAUGGGGUGAUAUGAGAAAGGUCAUGAAAUGAGCUUUGAUUCAAUUUUUCCAAAAUUACUUCAAAAUAUAUUAGCCUAAGAGCAUAUGUACUCAAGUCAUGCCCAAAUCUUGUUGUUUUAACUAAUGUUAUGCUUUGUAAGUAUUCCUAAUGUGUUUAAGCUCUUACAUAUUCAUGAGUUGAAAUUGUGUAUUGCCGUUUUUGGAAAAAUUACUUCAAUAAUAAAUGGUGUGUUACUCGUCUAUGAUUUUAACUCGUGCUUCGAUUGGAAAUCAUUUUACUUCAUUCCUUGGAAAGAAAUCCAUUGUGUUUAAGGUCUUCUUUUCUAAUGAAAUUAAAGUUGUGAUUUCCAGAAUAUUCUAUUUGUUAAUGUUCGUGAUGAUGAUCCUUGAAAGUAAUGAAAUGAAAGUGCGGAAUAUGAAAAUACUGACACUGUACCACAAAAGAAGAAUCAUAUGUAUGUCCAAGAGAGCUAAUGAAAUAAUGAUGUUGUAAGCUGUUGAAAGUACCAAAAAAUCUAUAUAUAUUGGGUGAAAGGUUAUGAGGUGAAUGUAUUUGUACUUCUGUUUUCCUUGUGUGCAAAACUAAUAAUAUUUUUAGGAGUAUCAUUAGCAAACCAAGGAAGGGUGGGUCGUAACGCCCACACCCGAAACUAAACGUGCUGGUGUAGGAGUGGAUUGUGAUUAUUCCCCUAAUUUAGCAUGAGAUUUAUAUUCCCCUCAAUUAGGAUGAGAUUGUUGAUAGCCCUGGAUUUAAAGUCAACUCACACAGCAUAUAUGGGAAGGCGGCCUAGCCAAUCGGGUAGAGAUCGGACGCCAUGUUGCACAUAUGGUGGUACUAUUCUUGGUAACACUUCUUUUGCAUCACAUGUCAAAAUACAUUAUUCGUGGGGAGAUGGCCUAGCUGAUCGGGACUGAUUGAGCUCCAUGCUAAAAAUAUGGUGGUAUAUCGGUGAUAAUGAUCUCUCAACCAAAAACAUAUAUUAUUUUCAUAUUUUAAAAAUUGUUCUAGAUUAACUUGGCCUUUGGAUAUCAUUGAUCAUUUCUUGUUGUUUCUACGGUUUUUCCUUUAUUAUAUUGUCAUUCUCUUUCGAAAGAGGACAUUUAGCUUUACAUAUUAGUACUAUUCCUAUAUGUACCUACAUCCUGGGGUGCUACAACUUCAAUGGAUGCAGGUGGUUCAUCAGCAGGCACCUUUGGUCAUUGUUAGCAGUUACUCUCUAUUCAGCAGGUUUUGAUGAGCCCUACUCUAUUUCGGGCAUAAUGUCAGUUGAUGCUAUUCUUUGUGUUUUGAGGUAUAGCGGGGGCCUUGAUGCCGGCACUUUCAUACUACUCUUUUGUUGUACUUAGAGGCUCCAUAAACAGAUUAGGGGUGGUGUUUGAUGUUAGGAACUGAACCAGAAGUGUUGAUAUUUGGCAAACAUAUUUUUCAUCAUGUCUAUGAACUUGUAUAUUUUGGACAUCGUAAAUGAAUCUCUUUUGAAUAAUGGUAAAAGAAUGUGGAACACUUCAACCUUUUCAUGUCUAUCACUUUUAUUGAUUCUUAUCAUUAAUGGGCAAGGUUGGGUAGAAGGCAUCUCUCAGGAUUGCUUAAUUGAGGCAUCUCGGUUGAUUGCUGGUCGCGCUCCAUGAGGUCGGGGCGUGACAAGUGGUAUCAAAGCCUAUGGUUUUAAAGUUUUCUAGAAUGUCUCGGAGCCAUAUCUAGUAGAGUCCUUCUUAUCGGUAUGUUGUCAAUCACAUCUAUAACGGGGAGGAUACUUGGAUAUUUAAGAAUGUCACCCUUCUUUAACACUCAUAAUCGUGCAAUAGAGCUCUAGAUAGGGAGCUAAUUUCCUCUUUAUGUCUCAUUUUUCAAAUGAGUAAUCCACGAGUUCGAAGAAUCAAGGAGAGAAUGACCGCGCCAUUAAAUCUGGGGAGAUUACAUGAGAGUUCUUUGGGAGAAUAGGUCGAGCCGUGGAGGGAUUGGAGGAAGUUGUUUCUAGGGUAAAUGUUAUUUUUCCAGCAAAUGUCACUACACCACCGGAUCAUGUGGUGGGAUCUCUUAAGAAACGAAAAAGGGUUGUAGGCACAAAUAAGAUGAAUUAUUUGAUUGUUGAGAAAUGUCACUUGGGGAAAUAUUGGAUCACCCUUUAAAUAUGUUAUGGUUGUGGAAAGUGAUGGAACAAGAAGAACAAAUGCCCUAGGUUUGGUACACCCAUCCCGGUCUGCCUGACAUGCAAUAAGAAACAUUUGGCGUCGUGUUGUGAGUAUAAUCAGCAGCAUGUUAGGGGUGGUAGAUCUGGGAAACUCCAAAGGAGCACAUAUCAAACCAGUAAAAGGAUUGUUACUCUCGCAUUUGAAGCCUUGAGGAAGGAUAAGAAUGAUGGUUAUGAUGUAUGCAAAAAGGGUAAAUAUCUUGUCAGUGCGAUCAGUCAGUUCAUUGGACCUCAUCCCUAUUGUAUGAAGUGUAGGUGAUGUCAUUCGGAAGUGUGUCACUAUGGUACCAAUGUGUGCUAUGAGUGUGGUAUGAGGGAUUACAUUCAGUGAGAUUGUCGUUCGUCUCGCAGGAGUGCGGCACAACCAGCACAUUCCACAGCUACUAUAUCCACAGCGCCUCCCCCAGCUUGGGGCACUAUAGAUCCCUCAGGGCGUGGAGUGAUUAGGGGUGGUAUCAAGAACUCGGGAGGGCCCAAUAGGUUUUAUGCUAUGAGGAGGCAUCAAAAUUUGGAGGCUUCUCCCGAUGUGAUUGCAUAUAUAUCGACUAUCCAAUCUCAUGAUUUGUAUGCUCUUAUUAAUCUUGACUCCACUUUUUCAUAUGUCAGUCCUUUUUUUCUAUGGAAUUUGGGAUUGAAACGGAACAACUUUAUGAGUCGUUAUCUGCAUCUACUCUUCGAAUGAGAUGUAUCAUUCGUGAAUCCUCUUUAUCACAAUUAUCUUACUUACAACCUCUUGAGAAAUUGAGUUCCAUAAUAGUUUCAUUGAAUUGAGUCUAUAAUGAUUUUUCUGAAUUGAGUGACAACCCUAGGUUAAUACUUCCCACUUGCUUCCCUAAAUUCUCAAAAUGGGACUAUGUCGGUAAAUUUCCUACAAAACCUUUUUAUUCAAAUGGAUAACAUUUUCUCGCUUGUGCUUAUGCAUGCAUUAUCAUAAAAUUUACCUAUGUGGUAUCAAAACUAAUGUAAAGCAGCCUAGUGUUGAGAUCCUUCUUGUGCCACUCUUAUUCUCUCCAGUGUAUGUGGCUCAUAUGGUUUGAACAUUCACUUUACUCCUUCGUGAACAUUGUCAUGAAAGCUUUUCACUGUUUUGUAACAUGAGAGCAUAUCUCAGCACCUAUCAUAUUUGUUCAUGUCAAUUGAAAGAGUCACUUGUCCGCGUAAAGUACCUCUGAAACUUGGGAUUCUCACAAAUUUGUAAUAGGAAUAUCUGUUGUUCACCCAUCUCAAUAUAACUUUCAUGUCCACCUAGAUCAUGCCUCAGUGAGUAAAUCACUUUUUUCUUACUAUUGUAGUUGCCCGUGAAGUGGACUGGCAUUGCAGCUUGAGAGUUUUCUGGCAGAUACAUGUCUAGCUCAAAGGAAAGUGUUCAUUCUCUCUAACCAAUACAUGAUUUUAUCCCAGUAUUAAGAUGCCCUAGCUAUGUGGUUGCACUCAUUAAAGGUUAAAAUUAGAUGUUUUUAUAUUUUGGCACAUAUCAUGAGCAUAUUUAUUUGAAAGGUCAGUUUUUCAUAACUCUAACCCUCACAUAUAGGAUCAACUAUCUAGAACGGUUAACUUGUUAGAAUGAUAAUAAUCUCACAAGUAUCCAACUUCCUUUUCAACCUCAAGGGCUUGUGGCAUAGAUUCCUUGUUUCAGUUAAUGUUAAGAGCGUAACGCAAUUUCAUGAAUUUUGAAACCCAUAUCACAUUCAGGGUGCCAGAAUAUUCUUAAUUCGAGUUAAACUGAUUUUCCCUACACUUCAAGAGAUUACUGACAUCACGUACUUGGAUAUUCUUCUUGAGGCUUAUUAUAGCCGAACAAGGCAUAUAUGGGAUGAAACAAUUUGUUAUUUUUCCUUUCAUAACUCAUAGUCUUCCAAGAAUAACUGACGCUAAUGUCUUUAUCCUCUUGAUCAUGCCUCAUAUAUGUCACAUAUGUAGAAAGAAACAUUUAUUUUACAUAUCGGGAUCAUGAACAUGGUUCCCACAUUAUCAAUAUGUACUAGUAAACUCUAUGUCCCACUUGUCUAAUCGAUAAUGUCAUCACAUUGAUUAACCGUGUCACCACAAUUAGUAGUAACCUUCAUGUCUCUUAGUAUUUAAUCUCCUGCAACUCAACAUAAUGAUGGAUUCUUGAAUAAUUCUAUCCCAAUCUUAAACAUUGUUGUUCUAAUUUAUAGUAAUCUAUGGGGGUUGAGGGCUAAAACAUGUCAAAGAAGAAGCAUCAUACUAUGGUCAAAAAUAUUGGUAGGAAAUAUUAUGGUCAUAUUCAUGCCAGCACAUCUUAGAAUAAUUAUUGAAGGUCAUCAAAGGUUUACUUCGGGUGUUUGUCAUAGAGAUUUAGAGAUGAAGGAAGUGAAUGAGAUAUUCUUAAGAUUUCCCCAUGAAGAAAUUAUGUGAAUUUCUAUAUAAAGGUUAAGUAUGUGUAUCUACCAUAGGCCAUAUGGAAUCUUGAAGGAGAUAGGCCGAUAUAUAAGUAUGAUGUCUCCCCAUCGUUGUUCUCCAAUCACCUGGUGCUUCAUGUGUCUAUGUCAAAGAAAGUAGUUGGAGAUCUUCUGCUUAUCGAUCAGUUGGAGUCUAUUGAAGGUAAAGUUAAUUGAUAACUAUCUUAUGAGAGGUACCUACAUUGUCAUCCAUGUUAUACAAGCCAAAAUGUUUGGAUUUCCUCCAUGAAAGUGCUACAACGAAGUCUGUGAGUUGAGGAGGUUACCUCGAAGGACGAG